AACGAACGCUGGCGGCAUGCCUAACACAUGCAAGUCGAACGAGACCUUCGGGUCUAGUGGCGCACGGGUGCGUAACGCGUGGGAACCUGCCCUUAGGUUCGGAAUAACUCCCCGAAAGGGGUGCUAAUACCGGAUAAUGUCUUCGGACCAAAGAUUUAUCGCCUUUGGAUGGGCCCGCGUUGGAUUAGCUAGUUGGUAGGGUAAAAGCCUACCAAGGCGACGAUCCAUAGCUGGUCUGAGAGGAUGAUCAGCCACACUGGGACUGGGACACGGCCCAGACUCCUACGGGAGGCAGCAGUGGGGAAUAUUGGACAAUGGGCGAAAGCCUGAUCCAGCAAUGCCGCGUGAGUGAUGAAGGCCUUAGGGUUGUAAAGCUCUUUUACCCGGGAUGAUAAUGACAGUACCGGGAGAAUAAGCUCCGGCUAACUUCGUG
rnacentral:rRNA from 1 species